rnacentral:rRNA from 1 species
UACGAAGGUGGCAAGCGUUGUUCGGAUUCACUGGGCGUACAGGGAGCGUAGGCGGUUGGGUAAGCCCUCCGUGAAAUCUCCGGGCCCAACCCGGAAAGUGCAGAGGGGACUGCUCGGCUAGAGGACGGGAGAGGAGCGCGGAAUUCCCGGUGUAGCGGUGAAAUGCGUAGAGAUCGGGAGGAAGGCCGGUGGCGAAGGCGGCGCUCUGGAACGUUUCUGACGAUGAGGCUCGAAAGCGUGGGGAGCAAACAGG